GGUGCAAAUGAUGGUAAAUAGCGAUCAAAGUAUGAAACAAAUGAUUCCACAUUUUAACUACUGAUGCACC
rnacentral:snoRNA from 1 species